rnacentral:rRNA from 1 species
UACGUAGGGUGCAAGCGUUGUCCGGAAUUAUUGGGCGUAAAGAGCUCGUAGGCGGUCUGUCGCGUCGGAUGUGAAAACCCAGGGCUCAACCCUGGGCCUGCAUUCGAUACGGGCAGACUAGAGUUCGGUAGGGGAGACUGGUAUUCCUGGUGUAGCGGUGAAAUGCGUAGAUAUCUGGAGGAACACCGGUGGCGAAGGCGGCAUCCUGGACCGGUAUUGACGCUGAGGCGCGAAAGCUAGGGGAGCAAACGGG